AUUGAACGCUGGCGGCAUGCUUUACACAUGCAAGUCGAACGGCAGCGCGGGCUUCGGCCUGGCGGCGAGUGGCGAACGGGUGAGUAAUACAUCGGAACGUGCCCAGUAGUGGGGGAUAGCUCGGCGAAAGCCGGAUUAAUACCGCAUACGACCUGAGGGUGAAAGCGGGGGAUCUUCGGACCUCGCGCUAUUGGAGCGGCCGAUGGCAGAUUAGCUAGGUGGUGGGGUAAAGGCCUACCAAGGCGACGAUCCGUAGCUGGUCUGAGAGGACGACCAGCCACACUGGGACUGAGCCACGGCCCAGACUCCUACGGGAGGCAGCAGUGGGGAAUUUUGGACAAUGGGCGAAAGCCUGAUCCAGCAAUGCCGCGUGUGUGAUGAAGGCCUUCGGGUUGUAAAGCACUUUUGGCGGGAACGAAAAGGACUGUGCCAAUACCACGGUUCGAUGACGGUACCCGCAGAAUAAGCACCGGCUAACUACGUG
rnacentral:rRNA from 1 species